UAGGGAAUCUUCCACAAUGGACGCAAGUCUGAUGGAGCAACGCCGCGUGAGUGAAGAAGGUUUUCGGACCGUAAAGCUCUGUUGUUGGUGAAGAAGGAUAGAGGUAGUAACUGGCCUUUAUUUGACGGUAAUCAACCAGAAAGUCACGGCUAACUACGUGCCAGCAGCCGCGGUAAUACGUAGGUGGCAAGCGUUGUCCGGAUUUAUUGGGCGUAAAGCGAGCGCAGGCGGAAGAAUAAGUCUGAUGUGAAAGCCCUCGGCUUAACCGAGGAAUUGCAUCGGAAACUGUUUUCUUGAGUGCAGAAGAGGAGAGUAGAACUCCAUGAUGUAGCGGUGGAAUGCGUAGAUAUAUGGAAGAAUACCAGUGGCGAAGGCGGCUCUCUGGUCUGCAACUGACGCUGAGGCUCGAAAGCAUGGGUAGCGAACAGGAUUAGAUACCCUGGUAGUCCAUGCCGUAAACGAUGAGUGCUAAGUGUUGGGAGGCUUCCGCCUCUCAGUGCUGCAGCUAACGCAUUAAGCACUCCGCCUGGGGGAGUACGAC
rnacentral:rRNA from 1 species